rnacentral:rRNA from 1 species
ACACGUGAGCAACCUGCCCUUCACUCUGGGAUAACCUCGGGAAAUCGGGGCUAAUACCGGAUAUGAGCUCCUGUCGCAUGGCGGGUGUUGGAAAGUUUUUCGGUGAAGGAUGGGCUCGCGGCCUAUCAGUUUGUUGGUGAGGUAGUGGCUCACCAAGGCGAUGACGGGUAGCCGGCCUGAGAGGGCGACCGGCCACACUGGGACUGAGACACGGCCCAGACUCCUACGGGAGGCAGCAGUGGGGAAUAUUGCACAAUGGGCGAAAGCCUGAUGCAGCGACGCCGCGUGAGGGAUGACGGCCUUCGGGUUGUAAACCUCUUUCAGCAGGGAAGAAGCGAAAGUGACGGUACCUGCAGAAGAAGCGCCGGCUAACUACGUGCCAGCAGCCGCGGUAAUACGUAGGGCGCAAGCGUUGUCCGGAAUUAUUGGGCGUAAAGAGCUUG